rnacentral:lncRNA from 1 species
ACCUUCCUGGUUGAGCAUGUGUCACACUCACCCUGAUCAGCUCUUCCCUCAGGGAGUUCCUCACUUGCUGCCUCAAAGCCCACAUUGCUUCUUCUGUCUUCAUUCAUGCCUGCUGGGCCCGCGGUUGAUAUAAUAUGACACCUGCCACUAAGACCUCUCUGAAUUCUAGAUCCAGUCAGUCAGUGCAUGCUUGGCAGGCUUGUGGCACCUCCCAGAAGCUCCCAGUGAGUGAAAAGCCCUCCUGAUCUUGUCUCCUCACCUGGGACAACCAGGGUCAGUGAGUAGCACAACCAUCCAUGCAGGCCUGGAAAACACCUCCUCGGGCUGCUACCCGACCCAGUCCUUACACAGACCUAUCAGCUCUUCUAUUCAGACCCUGGAUGCUGCCUUCCUCCUCAAUGGUAUACACACGACACGGUUAGGGGAGAACUAUAAAGUUGUAGAACUCUCGUUCCAUAACAUGAGCACAUAUAUAAUUCAAGCAAAGCAAUCAUUGUUGAACCGCUAAGGAUGGGAGCAUCUCAUAUUUGCAGAGAAUACGUUGGGUGGUCUAGUUUUGGUACUUGGUUGAAUGUGGAAAAUGGAAAGAAACUAAAUCAUCCCGUGAAGCGGUCAUAUGUUGUAUAAUGGCAUUUUGGUUU